AGUGAACGCUGGCGGUAGGCCUAACACAUGCAAGUCGAACGGCAGCACAGUAAGAGCUUGCUCUUACGGGUGGCGAGUGGCGGACGGGUGAGGAAUACAUCGGGAUCUACUUUUUCGUGGGGGAUAACGUAGGGAAACUUACGCUAAUACCGCAUACGACCUACGGGUGAAAGCAGGGGAUCUUCGGACCUUGCGCGACUGAAUGAGACGAUGUCGGAUUAGCUAGUUGGCGGGGUAAAGGCCCACCAAGGCGACGAUCCGUAGCUGGUCUGAGAGGAUGAUCAGCCACACUGGAACUGAGACACGGUCCAGACUCCUACGGGAGGCAGCAGUGGGGAAUAUUGGACAAUGGGCGAAAGCCUGAUCCAGCCAUACCGCGUGAGUGAAGAAGGCCUUCGGGUUGUAAAGCCCUUUUGUUGGGAAAGAAAAGCAGCAGGUUAAUACCCCGCUGUUCUGACGGUACCCAAAGAAUAAGCACCGGCUAACUUCGUG
rnacentral:rRNA from 1 species